AGAAUCAUUCACAAUGGGGGAAACCCUGAUGGUGCGACGCCGCGUGAGUGAAGAAGUAUUUCGGUAUGUAAAGCUCUAUCAGCAGGGAAGAAAGAAAUGACGGUACCUGACUAAGAAGCCCCGGCUAACUACGUGCCAGCAGCCGCGGUAAUACGUAGGGGGCAAGCGUUAUCCGGAAUUACUGGGUGUAAAGGGAGCGUAGACGGUUAAGUAAGUCUGGAGUGAAAGGCUGGGGCCCAACCCCGGGACUGCUCUGGAAACUAUUUAACUUGAGUGCAGGAGAGGUAAGCGGAAUUCCUAGUGUAGCGGUGAAAUGCGUAGAUAUUAGGAGGAACACCAGUGGCGAAGGCGGCUUACUGGACUGUAACUGACGUUGAGGCUCGAAAGCGUGGGGAGCAAAC
rnacentral:rRNA from 1 species